GAUCAUGGCUCAGGACGAACGCUGGCGGCGUGCUUAACACAUGCAAGUCGAACGGUGACGGAGAGCUUGCUCUCCUGAUCAGUGGCGAACGGGUGAGUAACACGUGGGCAACCUGCCCCAGACUUCGGGAUAACGCUUCGAAAGAGGUGCUAAUACCGAAUACGAACGCCGUGGGCAUCCACGGUGUUGGAAAGUUUUCGGUCUGGGAUGGGCCCGCGGCCUAUCAGCUUGUUGGUGAGGUAAUGGCUCACCAAGGCGACGACGGGUAGCCGGCCUGAGAGGGCGACCGGCCACACUGGGACUGAGACACGGCCCAGACUCCUACGGGAGGCAGCAGUGGGAAUAUUGCGCAAUGGGCGAAAGCCUGACGCAGCAACGCCGCGUGGGGGAUGAAGGCCUUCGGGUUGUAAACCUCUUUCAGCAGGGAAGAAGCGAAAGUGACGGUACCUGCAGAAGAAGCACCGGCUAACUACGUG
rnacentral:rRNA from 1 species